ACUAUCGUUAACUGAAUACAUAGGUUAACGAGGCGAACCGGGGGAACUGAAACAUCUAAGUACCCCGAGGAAAAGAAAUCAACCGAGAUUCCCCCAGUAGCGGCGAGCGAACGGGGAGCAGCCCAGAGUCUGAAUCAGCUUGUGUGUUAGUGGAACGGUCUGGAAAGUCCGACGGUACAGGGUGAUAGUCCCGUACACCAAAAUGCACAGGUUGUGAACUCGAAGAGUAGGGCGGGACACGUGGUAUCCUGUCUGAAUAUGGGGGGACCAUCCUCCAAGGCUAAAUACUCCUGACUGACCGAUAGUGAACCAGUACCGUGAGGGAAAGGCGAAAAGAACCCCGGCGAGGGGAGUGAAAAAGAACCUGAAACCGUGUACGUACAAGCAGUGGGAGCACCUUCGGGUGUGACUGCGUACCUUUUGUAUAAUGGGUCAGCGACUUAUAUUCUGUAGCAAGGUUAACCGUAUAGGGGAGCCGCAGGGAAACCGAGUCUUAACUGGGCGUUAAGUUGCAGGGUAUAGACCCGAAACCCGGUGAUCUAGCCAUGGGCAGGUUGAAGGUUGGGUAACACUAACUGGAGGACCGAACCGACUAAUGUUGAAAAAUUAGCGGAUGACUUGUGGCUGGGGGUGAAAGGCCAAUCAAACCGGGAGAUAGCUGGUUCUCCCCGAAAGCUAUUUAGGUAGCGCCUCGUGAACUCAUCUUCGGGGGUAGAGCACUGUUUCGGCUAGGGGGUCAUCCCGACUUACCAACCCGAUGCAAACUACGAAUACCGAAGAAUGUUAUCACGGGAGACACACGGCGGGUGCUAACGUCCGUCGUGAAGAGGGAAACAACCCAGACCGCCAGCUAAGGUCCCAAAGUCAUGGUUAAGUGGGAAACGAUGUGGGAAGGCACAGACAGCCAGGAUGUUGGCUUAGAAGCAGCCAUCAUUUAAAGAAAGCGUAAUAGCUCACUGGUCGAGUCGGCCUGCGCGGAAGAUGUAACGGGGCUAAACCAUGCACCGAAGCUGCGGCAGCGACACUAUGUGUUGUUGGGUAGGGGAGCGUUCUGUAAGCCUGCGAAGGUGACCUGUGAGGGUUGCUGGAGGUAUCAGAAGUGCGAAUGCUGACAUAAGUAACGAUAAAGCGGGUGAAAAGCCCGCUCGCCGGAAGACCAAGGGUUCCUGUCCAACGUUAAUCGGGGCAGGGUGAGUCGACCCCUAAGGCGAGGCCGAAAGGCGUAGUCGAUGGGAAACAGGUUAAUAUUCCUGUACUUGGUGUUACUGCGAAGGGGGGACGGAGAAGGCUAUGUUAGCCGGGCGACGGUUGUCCCGGUUUAAGCAUGUAGGCUGGUUGUCCAGGCAAAUCCGGAUAAUCAAGGCUGAGGUGUGAUGACGAGGCACUACGGUGCUGAAGUAACAAAUGCCCUGCUUCCAGGAAAAGCCUCUAAGCAUCAGGUAACAUCAAAUCGUACCCCAAACCGACACAGGUGGUCAGGUAGAGAAUACCAAGGCGCUUGAGAGAACUCGGGUGAAGGAACUAGGCAAAAUGGUGCCGUAACUUCGGGAGAAGGCACGCUGGUGUGUAGGUGAAGUCCCUGCGGAUGGAGCUGAGACCAGUCGAAGAUACCAGCUGGCUGCAACUGUUUAUUAAAAACACAGCACUGUGCAAACACGAAAGUGGACGUAUACGGUGUGACGCCUGCCCGGUGCCGGAAGGUUAAUUGAUGGGGUUAUCCGUAAGGAGAAGCUCUUGAUCGAAGCCCCGGUAAACGGCGGCCGUAACUAUAACGGUCCUAAGGUAGCGAAAUUCCUUGUCGGGUAAGUUCCGACCUGCACGAAUGGCGUAAUGAUGGCCAGGCUGUCUCCACCCGAGACUCAGUGAAAUUGAACUCGCUGUGAAGAUGCAGUGUACCCGCGGCAAGACGGAAAGACCCCGUGAACCUUUACUAUAGCUUGACACUGAACAUUGAGCCUUGAUGUGUAGGAUAGGUGGGAGGCUUUGAAGCGUGGACGCCAGUCUGCGUGGAGCCAACCUUGAAAUACCACCCUUUAAUGUUUGAUGUUCUAACGUUGGCCCCUGACCGGGGUUGCGGACAGUGUCUGGUGGGUAGUUUGACUGGGGCGGUCUCCUCCCAAAGCGUAACGGAGGAGCACGAAGGUUAGCUAAUCCUGGUCGGACAUCAGGAGGUUAGUGCAAUGGCAUAAGCUAGCUUGACUGCGAGCGUGACGGCGCGAGCAGGUGCGAAAGCAGGUCAUAGUGAUCCGGUGGUUCUGAAUGGAAGGGCCAUCGCUCAACGGAUAAAAGGUACUCCGGGGAUAACAGGCUGAUACCGCCCAAGAGUUCAUAUCGACGGCGGUGUUUGGCACCUCGAUGUCGGCUCAUCACAUCCUGGGGCUGAAGUAGGUCCCAAGGGUAUGGCUGUUCGCCAUUUAAAGUGGUACGCGAGCUGGGUUUAGAACGUCGUGAGACAGUUCGGUCCCUAUCUGCCGUGGGCGCUGGAGAAUUGAGGGGGGCUGCUCCUAGUACGAGAGGACCGGAGUGGACGCAUCACUGGUGUUCGGGUUGUCAUGCCAAUGGCACUGCCCGGUAGCUAAAUGCGGAAGAGAUAAGUGCUGAAAGCAUCUAAGCACGAAACUUGCCCCGAGAUGAGUUCU
rnacentral:rRNA from 1 species